rnacentral:lncRNA from 1 species
CUAAAAUUGAUAGAAUUUAGAUGUCUUUUAUACAAGUCCUUCAAAUUCUGGUUCUUUGGCUAGAACUCAGACUUGCUUUGCUGCUCCUCUACUGAGAGUUCUAUUUUGAAAAGCCCCAUAUGUCUUGAUGUGGGUGUGGAACUGUGGAAUCUUCUGGUAAGAAGGCACUUUGGGAACAGCAGAACAAGCCUGUGCUCUUAUAUGGAGAACUUCCUGGUAGAUUAGGAGCAACAUACAGUUGUGCGUGUCUAGGGACUAUCUGGGUAGCUGCUGCCUCACAUUGGUGGCUUCUUGUCCCUACUGCUGAGCAUUGUCACUGUUAUAUUUUUGCUUCUUUGUUUUUUGGUGGGUUUUUUUUUGUUUGUUUGUUUGUUUUGUUUUGAGGUGCAGGAAUCAAACGCAAGACCUUAUGUAUACUAAGCAAGUUCUCUACCACUGAGCUACAUUUCGGC